rnacentral:rRNA from 1 species
UACAGAGGUGCGAGCGUUAAUCGGAUUUACGUGGGCGUAAAGCGUGCGUAGGCGGCUUUUAAGUCGGAUGUGAAAUCCCUGAGCUUAACUUAGGAAUUGCAUUCGAUACUGGGAAGCUAGAGUAUGAGAGAGGAUGGUAGAAUUCCAGGUGUAGCGGUGAAAUGCGUAGAGAUCUGGAGGAAUACCGAUGGCGAAGGCAGCCAUCUGGCCUAAUACUGACGCUGAGGUACGAAAGCAUGGGGAGCAAACAGGAUUAAAUACCCGCGUAGU